GUUAAAAAGCUCGUAGUUGGAUUUCUGCGGGGGCGGGGCGGCCGGAUGCUUAUAGCAUCUCGAGCUAGCACUUCCCCCGCAUCCUGCCGCGAACCGUGCUACCAUUAGUUUGGUGGCGCUGGGGAUCGGCUCGUUUACUUUGAGAAAAAUAGAGUGUUCAAAGCAGGCCACACGCCUUGAAUAAGUUAGCAUGGAAUAAUGAUAAAGGACUUCGGUUCUAUUUUGUUGGUGUUCGGGACUGAAGUAAUGAUUGAUAGGGACAGUCGGGGCGGUCAGUAUUCCAAAGCGAGAGGUGAAAUUCUUAGACCUUCGGAAGACUAACAGCUGCGAAAGCGUUCCGCAAGGAUGUUCCCUUUGAUCAAGAACGAAAGUUGGGGGAUCGAAGACGAUCAGAUACCGUCGUAGUCUCAACUAUAAACUAUACCAGCUAGGGAUCGGCCGACGUUUACUUAUAUCGACUCGGUCGGCACCUUA
rnacentral:rRNA from 1 species